rnacentral:rRNA from 1 species
UACAGAGGGUGCAAACGUUGCUCGGAAUUAUUGGGCGUAAAGCGCGUGUAGGCGGCUUGUUAAGUUGGUUGUGAAAACCCAUGGCUCAACCAUGGAAGGGCGUCCAAAACUGGCAAGCUAGAGUCCCGACGAGGAUGGCGGAAUUCCCAGUGUAGAGGUGAAAUUCGUAGAUAUUGGGAGGAACACCGGUGGCGAAGGCGGCCUUCUGGACAGUAACUGACGCUGAGACGCGAAAGCGUGGGGAGCAAACAGG